rnacentral:rRNA from 1 species
GGGACCUGCGGAGGGAUCAUUACUGAGUUAACGCUCUAUAACCCUUUGUGAACGUACCUAACCGUUGCUUCGGCGGGCAGGGGAAGCCUCUCGCGGGCCUCCCCUCCCGGCGCCGGCCCCCACCACGGGGACGGGGCGCCCGCCGGAGGAAACCAAACUCUAUUUACACGACGUCUCUUCUGAGUGGCACAAGCAAAUAAUUAAAACUUUUAACAACGGAUCUCUUGGUUCUGGCAUCGAUGAAGAACGCAGCGAAAUGCGAUAAGUAAUGUGAAUUGCAGAAUUCAGUGAAUCAUCGAAUCUUUGAACGCACAUUGCGCUCGCCAGCAUUCUGGCGAGCAUGCCUGUUCGAGCGUCAUUUCAACCCUCAAGCACCGCUUGGUUUUGGGGCCCCACGGCCGACGUGGGCCCUUAAAGGUAGUGGCGGACCCUCCCGGAGCCUCCUUUGCGUAGUAACUAACGUCUCGCACUGGGAUCCGGAGGGACUCUUGCCGUUAAACCCCCAAAUUCUUUACAGGUUGACCUCGGAUCAGGUAGGAAUACCCGCUGAACU